rnacentral:rRNA from 1 species
CGAAAGCCUGACGGAGCAAUACCGCGUGAGGGAGGAAGGCUCUUGGGUUGUAAACCUCUUUUCUCAAGGAAUAAGUUCUGAAGGUACUUGAGGAAUAAGCAUCGGCUAACUCCGUGCCAGCAGCCGCGGUAAUACGGAGGAUGCAAGCGUUAUCCGGAAUGAUUGGGCGUAAAGGGUCCGCAGGUGGCAGUGAAAGUCUGCUGUCAAAGAAUGAGGCUUAACCUCAUCAAGGCAGUGGAAACUACAUAGCUAGAGUACGGUCGGGGUAGAAGGAAUUCCUGGUGUAGCGGUGAAAUGCGUAGAUAUCAGGAAGAACACCGGUGGCGAAAGCGCUCUGCUGGGCCGUAACUGACACUCAUGGACGAAAGCUAGGGGAGCG